rnacentral:rRNA from 1 species
GACGAACGCUGGCGGCGUGCUUAACACAUGCAAGUCGAACGGAAAGGCCCUGCUUUUGUGGGGCGCUCGAGUGGCGAACGGGUGAGUAACACGUGUGUAACCUGCCCUUGUCUUUGGGAUAACUUCAGGAAACUGGGGCUAAUACCGGAUAGGAGCUCCUGCUGCAUGGUGGGGGUUGGAAAGUUUCGGCGGUUGGGGAUGGACUCGCGGCUUAUCAGCUUGUUGGUGGGGUAGUGGCUUACCAAGGCUUUGACGGGUAGCCGGCAUGAGAGGGUGACCGGCCACAUUGGGACUGAGAUACGGAGCAGAAUCCAACGGGAGGCAGCAGUGGGGAAUAUUGCACAAUGGGCGGAAGCGUGAUGGAGAAACGCAGCGUGCGGGAUGACGGCCUUCGGGGUGAAAAAAGCUUUAGACUGUGACGAAGCGUGAGUGACGGUAAUGGGUAAAGAAGCAACGGCUAACUACGUG